UGGGUGUCUCCUUUCUCUCUUGGCUCCGAGC
rnacentral:piRNA from 1 species